AAAUACAUUCUUUCUGGUUUUCUCAGAGAUGUCCCACCCAUUUCACGUACCACACCACACUGCUGGCUCUAGCAGUCUGACAGAUUGGGGGAGUUUGGAGACCACGAAAGUGGCAGGCUGCUCCUCCAUAUCUCUCGUCUCAAGCCUCUCACAACACCCACAUUCUUCCUCCAUCAGGAACCCAAAGAACUGAUGAUUUCUGGUAUUUCCCUACACUGGAGUUGAGGGUAUUUUUCUUCUCCCCAGGGGCAAGGGUGGGAGUGGCCAGUUUUUAUCUGAUUCAGAAGCUGUGUAUCAAGAGCUUGGGGAGAGUCUGGUAUGGGGAGUGAAAGAGAAGGGGGUUUCUCCCAUCAGUAUCUAUGCAUAAAUGCAUACAAAAUGGGUGUUGUGAUUAUUUGAUUUUUGUCUGGUGCAGGGCACAUAGAAGGAUGGAUAGAUGAUAGAUAGAUAAAUAGAUAACAUAAUGUAGACAUCUCGGGUAGGGUAAUUGCGUGUGUGUGCGCAUAACGGAAUCUGCGCGUAUCUGCACAGUGUGUGUACAGGGUCUACGUAGUUGUUUUUGCAGACUCUGUGCCUACAUGUUGAAGAAGUGCUCGUUUUAGUAAACCUGGGGAGUAUCAUAUAUGGGCAGGUGGGGCUCGUGCCGAGAGCUUUUCUGUUUAAAUGUGCCCACCACCUGGUUGCGUGCUGACACCUUCUCCAUUCCACAGCAGUGAUAACCGUACUUUUCAACAAGUCUUAGGAGGGCAUUUCUUUGAGGACUGAGGGGGAGGGAAGGUAGAGGGCGCCAUAUCUGGGACCGUAGCUAGGUUGUGGAAGUAUGGGGUGGGGUGAGGGGUGCGUGGUUUUCUCUGUGUGGGUUGGAAUGUUGUUGUGCCCAGAUGCGAGUGUAUUUGUGCACGGGAUGUCGGGGUCCUCCUUCUGCCUGCGCCGGCAUACAUCUGCCUGGCAGUCUGCCGCCUCAGCAAGCAAGGGGAGCGGAGCGCGGGAGAGAGGACCCGAGAGCUGA
rnacentral:lncRNA from 1 species